rnacentral:rRNA from 1 species
GGAGAACAGAUGCUAAUACCGGAUAAAAGCUACUUUCGCAUGAAAGAAGUUUAAAAGGCGGCGUAAAGCUGUCGCUAAAAGGGAUGGGACCUGCGAUGCAUUAGCUAGUUGGUAAGGUAACGGGCUUACCAAGGCGAUGAUGCAUAGCCCGAGUUGAGAGACUGAUCGGCCACAUUGGGGACUGAGACACGGGCCCAAACUCCUACGGGAGGCAGCAGUAGGGAAUCCUCCACAAUGGACGAAAGUCUGAUGGAGCAAACGCCGCGUGAGUGAAGAAGGUUUUCGGAUCGUAAAGCUCUGUUGUUGGUGAAGAAGGAUAGAGGUAGUAACUGGCCCUUUAUUUGACGGUAAUCAACCAGAAAGUCACGGGCUAACUACGUGCCAGCAGCCGCGGUAAAU